AGAGUUUGAUCCUGGCUCAGAUUGAACGCUGGCGGCAUGGCUAAAGCAUGCAAGUCGAACGAGAACCGGCUUCGGCCGGGGACAGUGGCGAAAGGGCGAGGAACGCGAUCGAACGUACCCCGAGGUGGGGGAUAGCGUCUGGAAACGGGCGGUAAUACUCCAUGUGCUCGCAAGAGGAAAGCUACGGCGCCUCGGGAGCGGCGAUCGUCCUAUCAGGUUGUUGGUGAGGUAACGGCUCACCAAGCCGAAGACGGGUAGCGGGUGUGAGAGCAUGACCCGCCGCAUCGGGACUGAGACACUGCCCGGACUCCUACGGGAGGCUGCAGCGACGAAUCUUCCGCAAUGGGCGCAAGCCUGACGGAGCAAUGCCGCGUGCAGGAUGAAGCAGCUUCGCUGUGUAAACUGCUGUCAGGUCCUCGAACCAACGAUCGGGACCAGAGGAAGGGCCGGCUAAACUCGUGCCAGCAGCCGCGGUAAUACGAGUGGCCCGAGCGUUAAUCGGAAUCACUGGGCUUAAAGGGUGCGCAGGCGGAUCGGAAGGCAUCUCGUGAAAGCCCCCGGCUCAACCGGGGAACUGCGGGGUGAACCGCCGAUCUUGAGACAGGUAGGGGUCAGUGGAACCAUCGGUGGAGCGGUGAAAUGCGUAGAGAUCGAUGGGAACGCCAAUGGCGAAGGCAACUGACUGGGCCUGUUCUGACGCUCAGGCACGAAAGCGUGGGGAGCAAACAGGAUUAGAUACCCUGGUAGUCCACGCCGUAAACGAUGUGCACUAGAUCGGAGUGGUUCUCACGCCCUCCCGGCAGAAGCAAAAGUGUUAAGUGCGCCGCCUGGGGAGUACGGUCGCAAGGCUAAAACUCAAAGGAAUUGACGGGGGCUCACACAAGCGGUGGAGCAUGUUGCUUAAUUCGAGGCAACGCGAAGAACCUUACCUAGACUUGACAUGUAUGGAUUAACUCCUGGAAACAGGAGCCCGACGCCCUUGGGUGGAACGUGCACAGGUGUUGCAUGGCUGUCGUCAGCUCGUGCUGUGAAGUGUCGGGGUAAGUCCCUUAACGAGCGCAACCCCUAUCGCUAGUUACUAACGCGUUAUGGCGAGGACUUUAGCGAGACUGCCGGUGUCAAACCGGAGGAAGGUGGGGAUGACGUCAAGUCAGCAUGGCCCUUAUGUCCAGGGAUGCAAACGUGCUACAAUGGCGCGGACAAAGCGAUGCAAUACCGCGAGGUGGAGCAAAUCGCAAAAACCGUGCCCCAGUUCGGAUAGCAGGCUGAAAUUCGCCUGCUUGAAGCCGGAAUCGCUAGUAAUCGCGUAUCAGCUACGACGCGGUGAAUACGUUCCUGAGCCUUGUACACACCGCCCGUCAAGUCAUGGAAGCUGUUAGUGCCCGAAGUCACCUCGUUUCAGGGGUGCCUACGGCAAGAAUGGUGACAUUCGUGACUGGGGUGAAGUCGUAACAAGGUA
rnacentral:rRNA from 1 species